rnacentral:rRNA from 1 species
AAUGAACGUUGGCGGCGUGGAUUAGGCAUGCGAGUCGAGCGAGAACCGUAGCAAUACGGGGACAGCGGCGAAAGGGACAGUAACGGGUAGAUUAUCUGCCCUCAGGUUUGGGAUAGCUGCGGGAAACUGCAAGUAAUACCAAAUAAUAUCUCCGGAUCAAAGGUGUGAUUCCGCCUGAGGAUGAGUCUGCCUCCUAUUAGCUAGCUGGUGGGGCAACGGCCUACCAAGGCGUUGAUGGGUAGCGGGUGUGAGAGCACGACCCGCGUCAUUGGGACUGAGACACUGCCCAGACACCUACGGGUGGCUGCAGUCGAGAAUCUUCGGCAAUGGACGCAAGUCUGACCGAGCGACGCCGCGUGUGGGAUGAAGGCCUUCGGGUUGUAAACCACUGUCAGAGGGGAUGAAAUGCAGGUGGGUUCUCCCAUCUGUUUGACAUAGCCUCAGAGGAAGUACGGGCUAAGUUCGUGCCAGCCGCCGCCGUAA